CUCCGGGUUCUUGGCUCUGAUGGCUUUCAUGAGCAGCUCCAGUGGGACUCCGCGUCAAAUCUGUGGAUCCAGUGGAAGAUGUCCAGCCGCACUCCUGUUGUGCCCUGAGACCGGCAACACCCACGGUCCACGUAGAGGAGCUUCUGGACAGGCUGACUGGCCAGCCGGAACCUCUCCAUGACUCCACUGCACAUGGGCGUGAGCCGCGGAGUGGACUCCUCACAAGUCAGCACAAAGGUCACUAUCUGUGAGUGCUCGUUCCCAAUGCUGGUGAACCGCGACCUUCCCCACACAGCUUCUUG
ensembl:lncRNA